AGUGAACGCUGGCGGCGUGCUUAACACAUGCAAGUCGAACGAGAACGGUCCUUCGGGAUGUCAGCUAAGUGGCGGACGGGUGAGUAAUGUAUAGUUAAUCUGCCCUUUAGAGAGGAAUAACUACUGGAAACGGUAGCUAAUACCUCAUACUCCUUUUACCUUGAUGGUAAUUGGGAAACGUUUUUUCGCUAAAGGAUGAGACUAUAUGGUAUCAGGUAGUUGGUGGGGUAAGAGCCUACCAAGCCAAUGACGCCUAGCUGGUCUGAGAGGAUGAUCAGCCACACUGGAACUGAGACACGGUCCAG
rnacentral:rRNA from 1 species